rnacentral:rRNA from 1 species
AUUGAACGCUGGCGGCAGGCUUAACACAUGCAAGUCGAGCGAGCGGCGGACGGGUGAGUAAUGUCUGGGAAACUGCCUGAUGGAGGGGGCUAACUACUGGAAACGGUAGCUAAUACCGCAUACCAUCAGAUGUGCCCAGGUGGGCUUAGCUAGUAGGGGGGGUAAUGGCUCACCUAGGCGACGAUCCCUAGCUGGUCUGAGAGGGUGACCGGCCACACUGGGACUGAGACACGGCCCAGACUCCUACGGGAGGCAGCAGUGGGGAAUAUUCGGCAAUGGGCGAAAGCCUGAUGCAGCCAUGCCGCGUGUGUGAAGAAGGCCUUCGGGUUGUAAAGCACUUUCGGCGGGGAGGCGUUACUUGAAGAAGAAGCACCGGCUAACUCCGUGCCAGCAGCCGCGGUAAUAC